rnacentral:lncRNA from 1 species
UCACACCACAGCAGCAGCGACUGGUCGGAGUUCCCAUGCUGAUGCAAGAGAAUGUGCUAUUUCAACCCAGGCAGAGCAAGAAGCAAAAACCCUUCAAACUUCAACAGACUCAGUCUCCAAAGAAGGCAACACAAAUUGCAAGGGAGAAGGCAUGCAAGUUAAUACUCUAUUUGAAACAAGCCAGGUUCCAGACUGGAGUGAUCCUCCUCAGUUCACAAGAAGUCUGGGGCUAGUGAAAGUCUGUGUGUCAUUCCAGUAGCUCGACGAUGACUGCAAAUCUCCAACUUCCUUCUCUCUUUCUGCUGCACCAGUCAUAGUGUGCUGGCUUUUCAUUUUCAUGCCCCAGGACUGGAAGAUGAGAGCUGCAGCACCAGGCAUUACAUCCUGAUUGAAGGAAGAAGGAGGGGAUAGGCAAGGAAUUUUAUCGUUGAAAUGGAAGAGGAUGAUACAGUGGUGACCUUCCACACUCUGUCCUGGAGCAGCGUUGUACAAGUUCAGGAAACAGUCAGAGAGACAAUCUCUUGCAGCCAGAUGCCAGCUUUCUCAGAGCCUGCUGGGGAGGAGUCCCCAU